UACAGAUCCAGUAAUGCGGAGAUGGCGGGUGCUGCUAGUAGCGGCGAAGGAAAAGAGAUGGAAAUGGUCGAACCUAAAGCGGGUUUUAAAUCGGAUGUGUGGAAGCAUUUCGGUUUCUCUCUGAAAAGAAACGAGAAAGGAGAAAAGGUGACAGACAAAGAAAACACGGUAUGCAGGCACUGCCAGACUGUGGUGAAAUACAAGUCGGGGAAUACGACUAACAUGAGGAGUCAUUUGUUAAAUCAUCACCCCGAAAAGUUACGUGAAGAUACGAGGAGCAAAAUCCAGUCGGGCCAAAAGACUAUAAAAGAAGCGUUUACAGCCUCACUCCCCCACAACAGUGCGAGAGCACAAGAAAUCACAAAAUGCAUUGGUGAAUAUAUAGCCAAAGACCUACGGCCCUUUUCGGUGGUGGAUAAUGAAGGUUUUAAGAGGUUAGUAAACAUGCUGGAGCCAAAGUAUAAAAUCCCGUCGCGGCCACACUUUAGUCAAACUGUUUUACCAGCUCUUUACAAAGAGACAAGGGCGAAAGUUGCACAGAGCCUCAAACAAGCAGAGUGCAUCUCAAUCACCACAGAUGGGUGGACUUCACGAGCUACUCAGAGCUAUGUUACCAUCACAGCACAUGCUAUGACAAGUGAAUGGGAGAUAAAAACUUUUGUCCUACAGACACGGGUACUCUUUGAGUCACACACUGGACACAACAUAGGCGAGGUGUUAAAAUCUGCUGUUUCAGAGUGGGAGCUUGACACGAUUUACAACAACAAUCACCAGGGCAUCGCUGUGGUUACUGACAACGCAAGAAACAUGGGUGUAGCGGUGAAAGAGGCUGGUCUGUCCCCACAUGUAAAGUGUUUUGCUCACACCUUAAAUCUUGUGUCCCAGGCAGGUUUGAAGGUAAACCGUGUCAGUCGUCUGCUUGGCAGAGUGAGGCGUGUAGCAGCGUUUUUUCACCGCAGUUCAACUGCAACAGCUGUGCUGACCUCCAAGCAGCAAAUGUUAAACCUGCCAGUACAUAAACUGAUAAUGGAUGUAGUAACUAGGUGGAACAGCUCACUUGACAUGAUUGAGCGCUGCCUGGAGCAACAACAGGCAAUUGCUGCAGCCCUACUGAGUUCUGAAGUCAGGCGCAAUGCACGUGAAAUAGACAGUCUAGACGCAGCUCACAUCGCAGAUGCUGAGGACAUCGUUAAACUUCUCACACCCUUGAAAAAAGCAACCACUGUGCUGUGCGACGAAUCUCGACCAACAAUCUCUCUUAUCAUACCUCUCAACACAUGAUUCAAGUGAGCAUGGCACCGUGCGAUGUAGACUCAAACACCGUCUCUCAAAUGAAGGCAGCAAUACUGAAUGAUUUGGCAGACCGUUACCAAGGGGAGCAAGCAGAGUUUCUGUAUGAGAGCAGUGCGUUGGACCCCCGGUUCCUGGCCCUCCCCCAUCUGAAUAACAGCGAAAGGGAUGAAAUUUUCAACAGGCUCAAGUUAAAAGCAACACAGAUGCAGAACCAGAACCCUAGUGAAGAGGAAGGUGCAGCACCAGGCAGCCAUGAACAUGUAGCUGGACACUCAAAAACUGACCUGCCACAAAAAGCACAUGCUGUGGGAGGUGUCUCUCCUCCAUCCAAAAAGACUGCUCUUGAAGAUCUCCUUGGGGAUUCUUUUAGUCAAGGGGACAGCAGAACACAGCACACUGCUCAGAUUGAUGCAGAAAUUGACUUGUACCGCAAAGAGACCUCUAUCUCACUCAUGGCUUGUCCUCUCGAGUGGUGGAAAGACAAUGCACAACGUUACCCACUGCUGUCAACCUUGGCCAAGUCAUAUCUCUCUGUCCCAGCAACCUCAGUCCCAAGUGAGAGGGUUUUUUCUGUUGCAGGGGACAUUGUAAAUGCCCAGAGAUCCCAGCUUUUACCAGAUAAUGUUGAUAUGCUAAUUUUCCUUAAAAAAAACCUGUCUCUGUCUGAAUAAGUGAGUGUGUGAGUGAAUGAGGUGUGUGUUCUCAAAUACUCAUUCAGCACAUGGGCCAGCUGCAAUAAGUAGGCUGCUAUUUUUAUUUUUUCUGAGUUUUCAAGAAUACUAAAUUGAAACUUUAUUUUUUUACAUGGUUUAAUAAUUUUUUGUUAUUAAAAUGGAAAAAUUGAAGAUUCUUUUUUCAAAGUUUAUAGAUAGAUUGCUAAUUUGUGUGCAAUUGAUAUGUUCAGUGCUCAUGUAAACUGUUUAAUAAACACUUCUGGCACUUUUUUCGAGUCUCUUCAUUAGUUUUGUUUUUCCUGUAAAUGAUUCAAUAAAUA